UACGGAGGGUGCAAGCGUUAUCCGGAUUCACUGGGUUUAAAGGGUGCGUAGGCGGAUAGGGAAGUCCGUGGUGAAAUCCUGCAGCUUAACUGCAGAACUGCCGUGGAUACUCUCUAUCUUGAAUAUCGUGGAGGUUAGCGGAAUAUGUCAUGUAGCGGUGAAAUGCUUAGAUAUGACAUAGAACACCCCAUUGCGAAGGCAGCUAACUACGCGAUCAUUGACGCUGAUGCACGAAAGCGUGGGGAUCAAACAGGA
rnacentral:rRNA from 1 species